rnacentral:rRNA from 1 species
GAUGAACGCUGGCGGCGUGCCUAAUGCAUGCAAGUCGAGCGAACGGACGAGAAGCUUGCUUCUCUGAUGUUAGCGGCGGACGGGUGAGUAACACGUGGAUAACCUACCUAUAAGACUGGGAUAACUUCGGGAAACCGGAGCUAAUACCGGAUAAUAUUUUGAACCGCAUGGUUCAAAAGUGAAAGACGGUCUUGCUGUCACUUAUAGAUGGAUCCGCGCUGCAUUAGCUAGUUGGUAAGGUAACGGCUUACCAAGGCAACGAUGCAUAGCCGACCUGAGAGGGUGAUCGGCCACACUGGAACUGAGACACGGUCCAGACUCCUACGGGAGGCAGCAGUAGGGAAUCUUCCGCAAUGGGCGAAAGCCUGACGGAGCAACGCCGCGUGAGUGAUGAAGGUCUUCGGAUCGUAAAACACUGUUAUUAGGGAAGAACAUAUGUGUAAGUAAAUGUGCACAGCUUGACGGUACCGAAUCAGAAAGCCACGGCUAACUACGUG